rnacentral:rRNA from 1 species
GAUGAACGCUGGCGGCGUGCCUAAUACAUGCAAGUCGAGCGAACAGACGAGGAGCUUACUCCUCUGACGUUAGCGGCGGACGGGUGAGUAACACGUGGAUAACCUACCUAUAAGACUGGGAUAACUUCGGGAAACCGGAGCUAAUACCGGAUAAUAUAUUGAACCGCAUGGUUCAAUAGUGAAAGACGGUUUUGCUGUCACUUAUAGAUGGAUCCGCGCCGCAUUAGCUAGUUGGUAAGGUAACGGCUUACCAAGGCGACGGUGCGUAGCCGACCUGAGAGGGUGAUCGGCCACACUGGAACUGAGACACGGUCCAGACUCCUACGGGAGGCAGCAGUAGGGAAUCUUCCGCAAUGGGCGAAAGCCUGACGGAGCAACGCCGCGUGAGUGAUGAAGGUCUUCGGAUCGUAAAACUCUGUUAUUAGGGAAGAACAAAUGUGUAAGUAACUAUGCACGUCUUGACGGUACCUAAUCAGAAAGCCACGGCUAACUACGUG